UAUUCAGGAGUAGCUUGGUGGAUCAUCCUCCUGGCUGUUCUUGCCGGGAUUCUGAUGCUGGCUCUAUUAGUGUUUUUACUGUGGAAGUGUGGCUUCUUCAAGAGAAAUAAGAAAGAUCAUUACGAUGCCACCUAUCACAAGGCUGAGAUCCAUACUCAGCCGUCUGAUAAAGAGAGGCUUACUUCCGAUGCAUAGUAUUGAUCUACUUCCAUAAUUGUGUGGAUUCUUUAAGCGCUCUAGGUACGAUGACAGCAUUCCCCGAUACCAUGCGGUGCGGAUCCGGAAAGAAGAGCGAGAGAUCAAAGAUGAGAAACACAUGGAUAACCUCGAAAAAAAACAGUGGAUCACCAAGUGGAAUGAAAACGAAAGUUACUCAUAGAGAGGAGGGCACAGGAAAGAACACCUCACACUACCCAAAGCCCCCCCUUAUUUUUUCCAGCUCAGAAAUUCAGGUGGCUUCAAAGCCUGCUCAGCUCCCCCAUAUAUGAUUUCAGACUGACGACACCCAGUAUGGACCUACAGUUUCAACUGUGGAUAUUGUUACACCUAAGGCUCCUGUUUUGCACAGCCAAAUUUAAGACUGGUAGAGUGGAUUUUUCUUUAACUGCCUUAAUUUAACUUUCCGGAUUGCCUUUGUUUUUGACGUGGCUGACUUCCACACGCUGGGGCAGGGCCUGCCCAUCUGCACUGCUGGGAUGCUCUCCCCCAGGUCACCUGUGCUAACAGAGUGGCUAUCCCAGCCUGCUCCCACAAGCAUUCUUCUCAUAAGAUUGACCUUGGCUCAAGACUGCCAAUGGAUAGCUGUGCCUCUGGUGAAAGUUCUGUCUUAAAUGUGCAAUAGAAGGUGAUGUUACCCUUUGGCCUUCUUUCUCCAUCUCCUAGAAGUGAGGACCCUUGCUGACGCCAAAUGCACACAGGUUCCCGUCUCCCUUGUCACUAAAGCACAGGGUCGACAGACUUGAAUGCUAGUUACAUUUGUUUGUAUAUGAUAUUUAUUUUUUUCUUCAAGCCAUCUUGCUGUUGACUAAUAGGCCAAAGAUGCUUCUGGGUGGUUUAAGCAAUGAGAAUGAGAACCUGGGAGGUCUUGUUGUUGUUGUUGUUCUGACCUUACUUAUUUACUGC
rnacentral:lncRNA from 1 species